rnacentral:rRNA from 1 species
GAUGAGCGCUAGCGGGAGGCCUAACACAUGCAAGCCGAGCGGUAUUGUUUCUUCGGAAAUGAGAGAGCGGCGUACGGGUGCGUAACACGUGUGCAACCUGCCUUUAUCGGGGGGAUAGCCUUUCGAAAGGAAGAUUAAUACUCCAUAAUAUAUUGAACGGCAUCGUUUAAUAUUGAAAGCUCCGGCGGAUAGAGAUGGGCACGCGCAAGAUUAGCUAGUUGGUGAGGUAACGGCUCACCAAGGCGAUGAUCUUUAGGGGGCCUGAGAGGGUGAUCCCCCACACUGGUACUGAGACACGGACCAGACUCCUACGGGAGGCAGCAGUGAGGAAUAUUGGUCAAUGGGUGCAAGCCUGAACCAGCCAUCCCGCGUGAAGGACGACUGCCCUAUGGGUUGUAAACUUCUUUUGUAUAGGGAUAAACCUACCCUCGUGAGGGUAGCUGAAGGUACUAUACGAAUAAGCACCGGCUAACUCCGUGCCAGCAGCCGCCGUAA